CGAAAUCAAAGGUAUCCUAUACCUCAAGUUAUUAAGUUGUUUAUUUUAUUUUUUAUUAUGUGUAAGACCACAGUGUUCACAAGUUACAAUAUUUCUUUUUUAAGUAUGUUGGUUUACAUAAUUAAACAAUUAAAUCUUACUCAUAACUCAAACAUAACUUGUUACACCAAGUCCAACUGACAACAAGCUGUAUAUUGUUAAUUAUUAAGUUUAGUUUAAAGUAAACAGCCAAUAUUUUGAUAAGUAAUGUGGAAAACGAUUUAAAUUUUCAGACUCAUUCAAUAAUAUAUCUCUGAAGAAUCAUGAUCAAGACAACCAAAAACCAGUACAGUUAGAGAGUGUGGCUGGCGGGGUUGCAGUUCAUUGUGAAUUAAAAAAAAUUUAAAGGAAAAGUAUUCGUUUGGAGGUUUUUGAUGCUUCAAGAAAUUUACCAAAAGUUGAAUGUGAGUUACCAGCUAUAAAGCAGGAAGCUAAAGCUGAACAAAGGAGGCUAAAAUUAGAGAAAUGGAAGAUGGGAAAGGAGAAGAAGAAAAGAGAAGCUGCAGCACUGAAGAAGAAGCCAUUUAUUGUGAGAGUUGCUCAUGCUCCUAAUAAAGUUGUGUCUAUAUCUCCUCUAAGGGCUAUACCCAGUACAUCUGGAAGGGUCACCAAUUCGCGAACUGUUCAGAGUAAUAAGUUACAGAAAAAACAAUUGUCACAAAAUGCCUCUUCAUUUGCCCCAAAAAAUACAGGUCUCCCAAAUACACAUCAUUUAACUCAAAAACAAUUAAAGCUAGAUCGAAAACAAACUGAGAAAAAAGUUCAAUCCCAAAAUGAAAUGGCAAUAGAGCCCCAGAAAACAGUCACCAUAAACCCAUAUGUCACUAUAGCAAGGGGUAAGGAAAAUGCUCUCAAAGAAAUGAAAAAGAAAAUUAAAGAAGGACUUUUACAUGAUGAUUACAAUGAUUUGGGAAGUGUGGAACAUCUUAAAAACCAGUUAAAUUCAGAAACUAAGAGAAUCACUGAGAUGUGUAAUACCUGGGAGGAGAUAUCAAUGGAGGGUGUGGUGCCUGAUUCGGUUGAACCGCCAUUCUGGGUGCGGUGGGUCAGGGUCGUCUACUCUUGUCGCAGUUGAUACAGCAAUUCGCGGGCCUAGUGGUGUGCUGCGAGCAGGUGGACCCUCGCCACCGACUGGUAACCGCGGCUGACCUUCAUGGAUUUUGGGACAUGAUUUUUAUGCAGAUUGAGGACAUUGACAUACGUUUCAAAGAGUUAGAAGAAAUGAAAGCUCGAGACUGGUUAGAGAAGGAACCGCAGAAGGUAAUGCUAAAGAGGAAGAUGACGACCACCGUAGCGGCCGGCAAGCCCGCAGCUACCAGCAGGAUCCGGGACGCGAUAGCAGCCGCAAGAAGAGCUCAGAAUGUGCAAGUAAAACAAGCAGAAGGACCUGGGUGAGAUGCGGGCAGCGGAACCAAGACCUUCGAUGGCGGUUUCUUCUCUGUUCUGUCUCCAGUGCGAGAAGUUCCGUCGCCUGAUAUGCCCCGCCCGAAGCGUAUGUGUAACGAAAAUAACUUCCCUUCGAGUGCGACCAAGAAUUCUUCAAGGAAGACGUCCAGGGCGAUGAUGUUCGCUUCGUUCAUUAGCCGCGCCUGCAAGGACGGCGCCAUAGUCCAGGAUGAUCCUCAGGAUGAUCUCAAACAGUUCACCCCAGAAAACAUAUGUGGCCUUUGGCAAAAGUUAUGUGGCAUAUUACCAUCAGGCAACACUACAAAAGCUAACGGAUCAUUGAAGUGUGAUGUAUUUGAUAGUCCCGACAAUGAUCUGCUUCAGCAGUCCAUCGAUGGUGACAUCAGCGGGGUGGUGUUGGCCACUACAACUAUUGAUAAUGAAAAGGAAAAUAACAAGUUGGAGAGAGAGAAUGCUGUAUCCAGCCCUGUCUGUAAGAAGCAGGAGGAAAAGUAAGCAUUUAGUUAAUGAAGAGAAUUGCAAAAUACUCCAUCACGAAUACUGCGCCGGUCGACAAGAAGAAAGUGACUUGUGCUCUAACUGCUAGAGACGUUAAGUAGACAAUUCUAUAUCUCGAGAGAAACACAGACCAAAGUUCGUCUACAUGAGACAUAAAAAUAUUUUAUUAUACAAGUCACUUUAGAUACAUGUUUUAAAAUUGUGUGAUAUUUGUGUUGAUAAUCAAUACUGGCCAUUGCCAUGUCAAUAACUGUGCAAGUAAUGUAAUUUGUGUAUGGAAUCAUGAUAUAACCUUAUGUAAAAUUAUAGAAAUGUUAAUUAUUUAUUUUAUAUUCUAUCGCAAAAGCAUGAAUGUGAUAAGAUGUUAAUUAUUUUUUGUUAAAAAAUUUGUUAAAGCAAAAAAAAAAUUAAAUUUUCA